GAGAGAGAGAGAGACCAUGGACAGCAGUAUAUAGCCUACUGCUGAUUGUUAAUUGUAACAGUGAAAAUAAUAUGUAUUUACAGUCUGUAAUGUCCUUUUCUAAUAGAGGAUUUCAUUGUUACUAGCAGAGUCCAUCUUUGGAUAAUAAUUGUGAAAAGGACUUAGAGAAAACUACAUUUAUGUUCCUCAGCUCAACAGUUUGAAAUGUUCUGAUAACUCUUACACCCAUAACGAAGCUGUAUUAAGUUACUACAAUACAAACCCAGUGUCCCUACUUCUACUGCUUCACAGUGAAAGCAUUUAACUGUAGAAUUACUUUAUUAAUAUUAAUAAAGGCAGACUGGUUAAGCUUUUAUAAAGCAAUCCAGGUGUUGGUCAGCUGGAUUUUAGAUUCCUGCAGCUAGUUUUAGCCGGAUGAGCCAUUUUGAAUAAGGGAUCCAGAACGGGUCUGGACCGAGUUAACCACUUCAUGAACGGGUACAAAUCGGAUCCGGGUCGAAUGAGCUGCUUCAUGAGCGGAUACGGAUGUGGUCUGGACCCGUAAUUCUGAUCCGUUCUGGAGCCGUCCCGCCGUGUAAGUGGACUCCGAUCCGGACCAGUUUUGUCGAUGAUACCUCCAGGACGGAUCCAGUGCGGAGUCAAUUUGCUAUCAGGGAGGUAAGGUAGGUAAUAAAAGUUUGAUCUUAGAAGCGAUCGUCUAUAUGGGGAUAUAGUGUUAUAGCUUUAUUACAGAUCAACUUCUGUAAGGACAUGUGCAUGUGUGUGUACAUGUCUUGCUGUGGUUGUGGGGACACAUCUGUGUUUGAAACCAUCAGUGUGAGGUUAUUUUGGACAGUCGUGACAGCUUCAAAAGGCUGUUUGAGGGACACAUGCAGUGACUGAGGUCAGUGUCAGGAUGAGUCUCUACGACAUGGAUGAACCUGAAGGUAACGUCCUUUGUGCAGAUUGAAACGAGAGGAAAGAAGUUCACGCACCAAGCAGCAGGAACAUUCAAAAUUUCUCCAGGAAUUUUCUAGUACUUUCAGUGUUAUCCUCUACCAGAGCAAUCUUCUGUAAUUGUGUCAUUAGUUCUGCUCUUUCUUUUUCAACUUUCUACAUGAUAUAAAGAUAUGUUCAACUGAGCGCAGCACAGUCACCUGGAUCUUAAAGUGUGUUUUGUCUGUAUGUUAAUCAGGCUGCGCGGACUCCAUGACGGGAUUGGUCAGAGCAGAGAGGAGGAGCCUCUGACUCCACCGCCGGCUUCUCCUAUUGGUGCAGCAAUGAUCCUACCAGUCCUCGCCACAGCUGCAGGCUUCAAGCAUCAGAGGAAGAGAGUUUAAGAGCCGGGCCCACACAUCACAUGUCACAGGCUGACAUGAUGGGCAGCUCUCCUCUGUAUCUCCUUUGUGAACAUUUGUGUGUAAUUUGUGAUUUGGUUUGAGAUGCUGGUAGUGAUUGUUGGGGACUGAGCUAGGUUUCAAAUUCUGAUUGUGCAUCACACCCUUAGAAAAAGACUGUUGGACACAUUAGGAACAGGGGUGCUGCUUCUUGUGUUUUCGGGUUGGUUAGAAUCACACAGUUUUUGGUUAAUUUUUCUUUUUAGGUUAGAAAUGACUUACUUUAGUUGUCCUCUCACCUUGUUUGUAUUUUUGCUUACUUAUUUACCCUCCUGAUUACGCAAUAAAUUUGAUUUACCAAUAACACCUGGUUUUAUGUUGCUUCCCUUUUCCCCUAGCUGGGUGGUAACAUAAAGACUGCCAACAUACGGUGACUGGGAAGUUGCCAGAAACCAACAUGACGGCAGUGAACUGACACCUGGCUCUGUGAGCAGUCCGCAGUCAGUAAGUGAAAUAUUCGGUGAGUAAAAUUUCCCGGGCUGUUGUAUCUUCUUUAUUUGCAGAAAUCAACUGCCUGGUACUGGAUGUGAGUCCGACACUGUCAGAGGUUUUCCUUUCUCAGCAAAGUGGUUCCACAAAGGGUUUAUAUCUUGAUGCUUCAUGUGAGCAGUGCAACAUCUACUGGCCUGAAUGCAAAAUGGGCAAGUACAAAUGUUUAUAUCACAAAUUGAAUGCAAGUAAAAGGGGAAAGUAUGAUUGUAUUUUAUAUUCCAAGCAUAUAAAAGCAAAUCAAAAUAUGUUUUGUAUGCAUCAAAUGUGUCAAUAUCAGUCAAGUUUAGCUCAAUGUCUUUGUUUUAACUCAAGUGUCAAAACUGUAAGUUGGUUUACAAUGUGGGAAAAGAACAUGUAGCUUUACUUUUAAACGUCAGCUUUGGUGGUUGUGCAAUAUAAGAUGUGGCCAGAACUUUAGUUUAAAAUGUUCAAAAAAUUAAUAAACACGAUCAACGGUGUGUGAAGCGGCCACAGUGAUGAUGUCAUGAUCAGGACCUCCAUCUGUUGUAUUUCAGUUAUCUACUGAAAUGAGCAUGCGCACCAGCCAGCCCCGACCUGUCCUGUGUUGUAAUGCCACUUUGUCACACUAGACGCUGUGUGAGUCAGCGGCGCGUCAAGUCUGCUCUCAGUCCCACGAAGAAGAACGACUUCCGGCAGCGCUUGAAGUUAGCAUCACAGAAGCACAAGAGUGGCUGAACCUCCUAAAAGACGAUAUUCAUCUGCAUCCCGAAGAACCGCUCCCGACAAGAAACCGCGUUCAACGGCAAAGAAAAGAAGCAACACGAGUAAAUCUCGAUGUGGUUUUCUACCGCUGGAGAAGCUCCUGAGAGUGAAGAGAUGCGGUUUGAUGCCGAGCUCGCAACUUUCCUGUUAGCCCGGACCUGAGCCAGUACAGAUGCAAUACCGCCUCCACCUGUCUCACCAACGGCAGAGAGUCCAGAGAGUGAGGAGGGUCCAGACCAGAAUUCCAGUCUAAUCUUCACCAAUGAUGGACCAGCACCUGCCUUUUCUUCUGCGUCUGGCCUCAUCAAUCAACAACCACAUUACAUCAACACCUUGAGAGGGAUGGCAGAAUCCACCUCAGGCAAGAAAUGGAACUUAUUGUGACGGCGUAAUGAGGAACUACUCAGUAACGACUGUUUAUCAAUUCAGCGAACAAAGCUCCACAAAUAGUAAACUACCAGUAAGAGAAAAUCCUCGGAUUUCCUCCUCUUCAUCACGCCGGUCUCCAGGAACCCUCGUCCUCCUACAUCUUGUUUGCUGAAGAAAUCAACUACCUGUUACUGGAGCUCUGACAGCAUCAGUUUUAGAGUUAACUCUAUCAGAGAUCCCAUUUGAUUGUGAAGAUGGCUGACUUGUAUGAUAAAGGCAUAGGUUAAAACAAUGAAUUGAAUGGAAAUGAAAUAUUGAUUGUUUGGGAAGACCAUUACUUAUCUCGAAAUUGAGACGCUGAAAAAAUUUAACUGAAUAUUUGUUGUUGCUGGUCUGUGUAAGUUCAGGCAGUGUGACAUUAAAAAAAAAAUCUGUGUCUUACAUUACUGAUUACAUAAUGUUUAUGUGUUCUACUUCUAUGCA